ACUAUUUUGGCAGAUAAGUGUAUUAGAUUUAGAAUCUAAAAAUGUAAAAUCGUUUUUUACAGGUAGUA
rnacentral:tRNA from 1 species